GGAUCGUUCGUGCCGCUAAAAGUCAUGAGCUGGUCCGGGACCACGUGCACUGCGAUGUACUGGGUGGGGGGAGGGGCGGCGAGGCGGGAGGGAUACAGACACACUGUUAGACCGCCUGAAAGACUGCCUACAGGGCCACAGGUCUUCCGGAGAGCUCCAGCCGCCACCCGCCGGCACACCUUGGCUUCCAGCCCCAUCCCUCCUCACACGUCGGGCCGGCCCACCCCACCCUACUCUCUUCCUGUGUCCUCCCUGCAAACCUGUGCGGGCUUGCCGGUGGCCUGCGCCAGCUGCUGGGUGAGCUCCGACAGAAACCCCUCUGGCACGGAGGCGCGGGGAACAUUGGUGUUCACGAUGAACAUAGGCAUGGUGGCGGAGAGACUGCGAGCGUGGACCGGAGGACGGUACAAAGCGCGGUGUGACCCAAGCCAGGGACCUGAGCUACGUGACCCAGCUCAGUACCGCCCCAAGCCGGCUGCCGCUCCGCCUCCGCUGACGUCAGACUACGUCCCAAAGGGGCGGUGACUGCCCUUCAGCGCGCUGCUUCUGCAGAGGUCUUGCUGUGCUUCUGGUGCUGUAGGAAGUAUUACAUGGGCUCUUUGUUUCCUAAGAUGGAAACGGAGGAUGCUAGAUAGUGAGGACUUGACUCUAGUGAUUAGGUUUGUCGAGGCAUUCCAGGUAGAUGCUACAGAUUAACCGUAUAGUAAGAAGUUCAGGUCUGAGAGAUUUCUGUUCCAAGAAGAGGGAACUUAAGUUAUUGGUGGAACCUGUAGGUUGGCCUUAUUUCUCAUGCUAGUGGGCUAGGAUCGACCUACUUUAGUGAAUACAACUUAACCUCAAACAAUGAGCCAAAAGCGUGAUGGCUUGUACUUGGAGAAAAAACAAUCCUUCCUUGCCUUGGGAACUUUUCUCUAAGCUCAAGAAAUUAGCCAAGCCCCAUCACUUGCUUGCUUUUGCUCUCCUGUUGUACCAACAGUCAGCCCUCGAUCCCCUGCCUGGCCCAGUAUCACCUUCGUCCCACACACUUUCAACUGCGACUUUUUGUGUGUCCUGAGCCUCCUGGGACACGUGUCCACCAGGCCUAGGCUUGUGAGUGUGAAAUGGGGAAGGAGGCAGAACGGAGUCGCCAUCUAGUUACUUCCCUACAUUCCUGUUACUCCACACAGGCUAUUGAAACAAUGGUUCCCAAGGAAAUGGAAUUUUCUCUGGAGUCUCCUGCUGGUGAAAGAGAAAGGCUGGAAGGCAGAGAUUUUAUGCAGCUCUGGACGCUUGUCAGUCUUGCAGAAGAGACUGAAGCUUGACAGUGCUGCUGGGGGAUCACAUCUUGAGCAGAAUCUCUUAGUUCUACCUACCUCUUGCCCUCUAUUUAAAUGUAAACUUCCUCUGGCAGGACCCUGAAGAUGAGCUUGGGGUGACAGUCACUGGACUUCCUUUAUGUUCCUCUUCCUUCCCAGGGUGGCCACGUUGAAAUAAAUCUCCCUCCUCCGCUUUCCACUGUUGUCUGUUUAGUUGGACUAGAGGAUGUCUGAACGGCCAGGACCCAGGCUCUAACCCUCCCAGUUCCGGGAGCAUUGAUGGUAAAAAUGGACAAGUCUGAGGCCAGCUACAGCCAAAGGUCUCAUUCCAGGGUUACUAUCUGGGCUCUGGUUCAGGGGCCCUUGAUCUUGGGACACAGCUCCCCAGUAUUCUUGGGGGGCAUAUUUGGGUAAUUUUGACUUGUUUACAGUUAUCCUCCAGGUUGGUAAGGAUGUUAGAAGCUCCCUGGGCAUGCCGUGCCUUCCAGACGCUCCCUGGUAGCUUUAGGCUCUUGAUCCCCAUUGGUCCUUUAGAUUCUGGUUACAGAAAGCAGUUUGCUAUACUCAACAAAUUUUUUUGCACUAAGG
rnacentral:lncRNA from 1 species